CCGGCGAUUUCCGAAUGGGGAAACCCAGUGUGUUUCGACACACUAUCAUUAACUGAAUCCAUAGGUUAAUGAGGCGAACCGGGGGAACUGAAACAUCUAAGUACCCCGAGGAAAAGAAAUCAACCGAGAUUCCCCCAGUAGCGGCGAGCGAACGGGGAGGAGCCCAGAGCCUGAAUCAGUGUGUGUGUUAGUGGAAGCGUCUGGAAAGGCGCGCGAUACAGGGUGACAGCCCCGUACACAAAAAUGCACAUACUGUGAGCUCGAUGAGUAGGGCGGGACACGUGGUAUCCUGUCUGAAUAUGGGGGGACCAUCCUCCAAGGCUAAAUACUCCUGACUGACCGAUAGUGAACCAGUACCGUGAGGGAAAGGCGAAAAGAACCCCGGCGAGGGGAGUGAAAAAGAACCUGAAACCGUGUAC
rnacentral:rRNA from 1 species